UUUUUUUUUUUUUUUUAACCUUCCUUCCCCCUGCCUCGCUCAGAAACUGGUUUAUAGUCAGCAUCAGUGAUUUUUUUUCUCUUUUCUUUUUAGGGCUGCACCCUCGGCACAUGGAGGUUCCCACACUCGGAGUGGAAUCAUAGCUGCAGCUGCCAGCUUAUGCCACAGCCACAGCAACGCAGGAUCCGAGCCGCAUCUGUGACCUACACCACAGCUCAUGGUGACACCGGAUCCUUAACCCAGUGAUGGAGGCUAGGGAUCGAACUGACGUCCUCCUGGAUACUAGUCAGGUUCUUUAGCUGCUGAGCCACAACAGGAACUCCCUGAUCCAAUGAUUAACCUCUGUGCUUUUUUGGUUUCCAGACAUCUGGCUUGGGGAGCCCAUUGGUAUAACCACCUUCUGAGAAGUGAUAUUGCAAAUAUUUCAUGGAACUGACCUGUUCUUAGAACUAAGAAACUGGUCCCAUGAAAUGGAGGCUCUCUCUCUCUCUCUUCCUCCCCAAACUACCACCUCACUUCUCUCACUUUCUCUCUCUCUCUCUCUCUCACACACACACACACACACACAGUCACCAGCUCCGUUUUUAGUAUGUGAAAGUUCUAGGGAACUGUUGGGGUCCAGCGCAGACCACCCCAAAAUGUGCCUCCAGGUCCUGCUAAUUAUUUGGAAUUAAAGUGACUUAUGGUCUGGCCACUGCAAAAGGGACUCUCUGGCCUUUCUUCCGUCUCCCUGGAAGCAGGAGAUAAAAGUCUCCCGCAGAGGAAGCCAGCCAUGGAGAUGUCCACGCAGGGACAGAAUCCUCCAACGGUUCUGUGGGCUUUCCUGGGUCAGGAUCGGGCGGAAAUGGCCAAGGCGUGCUCCCAGCACAUCCAUCCCACCUCCCGCCAGGAUGUCGGUUUCUGGAGACUUCCUUCUCAAAGCUGCUGUUUUGUGCAGCUGCUCUCCCAUUUUUCCUAUUUUUUCAGUGUGUUAAUGAUACCACCGUGAGCCUCCCAAUCCCCUUUCAAUCCAGCUUCCUUUUGGCUUAUAUCUCAUGUUUCUCUGAACUUAGGAUUUUUUUUUUUUUAAACUGCAUUCUAAACAACAUCCAGGUUUCCAGCUCUCACCCUGGCUCGUGCGUUCUUUAUUGUUAACGGAUCCUAAAAUGGCACUGGCACAUCGCAGGCAAUGAAUUCCCAUAACAUCCAUGCCAUCCCUAACGGGGAUAAUUAAGGCCAGGAAUCCAAGUUCCUUGUUGCACGAUUCGCCAUCUCAGAGGUCAGACUGUCAGCAUGGUCAGUAAAAGCGCAUUAAACAUUCUGCUUUAGCAGGAUGACGCUUCACAGAGUAGAUACGGGGUUUCCAACCACUAUAUUUAUCUGCCUCUAGGCCAGCUCUGAAGCUUGCCUUAGGAAAACAGCAGGCAUAUCCAUCCACUAAGAUAUCUGCCGUUUGGCUCCCCCGGGAUUAUCAGUUUAUGUGUCUUGUACUCAUGCUUAAACCUAGUAGCGCAAGGAUUUCCACGCAGGGCGCUCUUCCAAAGAUCUCAACAGGUGUUACUUUAUCUGCCCAGCAUGCAAGCUCCUAUGGGUGUAUUCCAGUGAUUAUCUGAAUGUCAGCAAGUGUGUCUUGCCUGGGAGAUCCUAUUUAUCUAUUUUCAUUCUAUUUGAGCUUUACCGCAUUAUUUCAUCAGUCCUAGUUAAAAGGUAUGGGUGUUAAAAAGUGUUUAUCAGAGACUGAGCUGAAACAAAGUCAAUCACUUUUUAAUAGUUUUAAAAAGAGAUUCUUUGCAAAGCCCUACAGGAAUCAGAGGAGCACAUUUAAGCUAGAUUUUUUUUUGUUCUAUUUAGAAAAUUAUAUUAAUUGCGGGGGGGAGCAAAACUGAUACAAGUUUUUUUUUUUUCCCCCUUUAAUAUUGUCUUGUGAAUCACAGAUAUUUUCUCUGCUACUGUGAUUCGCCGCCUUAGGCUGUGGUUGAUCUUCUCCAAAGCUGCUUGUCUUCUCUGAGCCCUAUUCUUCCCUUCCCUCAAAUUUCAGUUGAAAGUUCCCUUUAGUAAGGUUGGAAAGAUUCCCGUUAAACGCAUUCCUCUCAUAUGUAUUCGAUCCCUCAGAGGGAGUCUGGUGUAGAGUCGCACAUAAACUCUAGUUUAAGAAAAGCUCAUUUUGGUCUGCUGCUGCUGUUUUAGUUAGGAGCUACAUGAUACCUGCUACCUUUCAUUGCUUCUUCUAAGUCAUGCCUCACCUGGAAGAAGAAAUGAAAACACCCCCUCGCUGCCCAGACUAAGUGCCUCUGGUUGUACCACUCACCGCCAUAUGAAUCAGCAAGAGCAGAGUGUGGUCUGUAUUGGGGUCAGUCUCAGGACCCCCCCCCGCCCCAUCUCCCCGAGGGACCCUCCCAUAUUAGUUCCAUGAAGAUUUACCUUGAUAUGAAUAAGAAAUAAGAUGCCUUCCCUCUUGUCCCACAUCUGAAGGAUUUGGUCUGGAUGUUUAGACUCUGUCUCUCAACUGUAAAUCUUUAGAGACCUACAUGCCAACCGAACGUGUAAAAGAUAUGUCAUAAAUGAUAAAAAUGUAUAAAAAGAUUUCACAGGAUUGGCUAGGAUUCCUGUAUAGGUUUUAAAACUACUCUCCUUUACUGGUGAUAGUUACGCAGGACCGCAGAGCUUGGCCUUACAAUCUGAGGCCGAACUUCAAAGUGUGCCAGACACAAGAGAGACGGAAAGUCAGAGUAACACUCUGUCUUCAGGAAUCUGCAGUCUAUGCAGUCAGCGAACACCUCUGGACAGAGGACAAGAUAGAUCCCUGCUGAUGCCAGGCUUCCCUAAAAAGGUGGUGAGCUUAACUGACCACGGCGCU
ensembl:lncRNA